rnacentral:rRNA from 1 species
AUGAACGCUGGCGGCGUGCCUCAUACCUGCAAGUCGAGCGAACAGACGAGGAGCUUGCUCCUCUGACGUUAGCGGCGGACGGGUGAGUAACACGUGGAUAACCUACCUAUAAGACUGGGAUAACUUCGGGAAACCGGAGCUAAUACCGGAUAAUAUAUUGAACCGCAUGGUUCAAUAGUGAAAGACGGUUUUGCUGUCACUUAUAGAUUGAUCCGCGCCGCAUUAGCUAGUUGGUAAGGUAACGGCUUACCAAGGCAACGAUGCGUAGCCGACCUGAGAGGGUGAUCGGCCACACUGGAACUGAGACACGGUCCAGACUCCUACGGGAGGCAGCAGUAGGGAAUCUUCCGCAAUGGGCGAAAGCCUGACGGAGCAACGCCGCGUGAGUGAUGAAGGUCUUCGGAUCGUAAAACUCUGUUAUUAGGGAAGAACAAAUGUGUAAGUAACUAUGCACGUCUUGACGGUACCUAAUCAGAAAGCCACGGCUAACUACGUG